CAUUUUUAGACGUUUGAUGGAAACCCAUUUUGAUUUCUUGUGAGCUCCGCUUAUAGAAAGGUAUCAACGGGGAAUGAGAUUAGUUAGUUUUUUAUUCAGCUUUGUUGGUAAACUUCCUUUGAGCUAUUGUUCUUUAGUCGGAUAUUUGGAAAGUUGGUCAAAUUUUGAGCUGUUUUCUGAUUUAAGAACUGAAGUCAGUUGGAUUGUUGAGCUUGAUUUGAAAUUUAUUUUAGUGCCAGUCUAAGAAGUUCUCUCUGGAGGAGUUGACAAAACUUUUCCAGUUCGUUGUGUGUGGAAUCUACAAGGUGUUGAAUUGGAUCAUCAGUUAUCCAUAAUGCCGAUGGGUUCUACAGACCACACUUUGAUCACCUUUCAACCACCAGAUGGAAUCAUGUCGGUGACUUUUAUUUCGCAGAUCAACAAAGAAACUGUUGAAGGCUGAGCCUAAGUUCAAUGAAUGAAGAGUUCCCUCUGCAUCAAUCAUAAUGGCUUCGUGUACGAUGAACUUUUGUACUUGCCUCGCAGGUGGAUUGUUUGAUGAUAUUGAAGGAAGGAACACGGCUUUUGCGUUUGGGUUUUGUUGGGGCAGGUAGUUGCGACAGCAAGACAAAGAGCUAUGAUGAGAAAUUGGCUAAGGAUCUUUGAAAUGCUUCCUCUCUUAAAAUUAUGGAAAGAUCCUGCAGAAAUUUAGGAAUGCCAUUGCAUUUAUUUUCAGCACUUCAGGUGCUUAUUUGCGUAUAAUGUUAAUCCCGCAGCGGAUCCAUUCAAACGAGCCUAUGAAGUGAAACCACAAAUGUAUCUCUAUGCAUCAAAAACCUGAAGAUGAUUUUCAUGUAAGGUUUUCUAUUUUAAUUGAAUAACCUGCACGAGUCAUGGCCUAUCUAUUUUGCAUUUUUGCUUGGAGUGGAAUCCUCCUUCCUGUUUGCUCUUUCUUUGAGUAGCAAGAAAUGGUUGUUCUUACUUUAAGCCAGAACCUCUCCAUCUUGUACGACUACUAUUUUGAUUCUUCUUUUUCUGGAUAUAUGGAGAAAUUUCUGUGAAGAAUACGUAUAUAUGUGUUUGUGUCUUUGUCCCGCUAUCUAUUUUGCAUAUUUGCUUGGAGUGGAAUCCUCCUCUUUCUGUUUGCUCUUUCUUUGAGCAACAAGAAAUGGUUGCUCUUACUUUAAGUCAGAACCUCUCCAUCAUGUACGACUACUGCUUUGUGUGAUUCUUUUUUUCCAGGAUAUAUGGAAAAACUUCUAGUGAGGAAUCUUUUUCUAAUACAUUUUAUUAGGGCGACAUAGACACUCUGUGGGAACCAAAAAAAAUUCUGGUAUCUAGAAAGUCAUCUCUUUAAUAAUUUGAUAGGGGAAAAUAAAUACUCCUCAAAUUUUAAGUGUUAAAUUUUGUGGUCUUAAUUAAGUCUUUUAAAUCUUGUGAUCUUAAUUUUGUUACCUAGAAGUAGAAUCAAAUAACUUACUAAAUAUAAAAAGAGAUAGUACUACUUUUUUUUGGGACAGACCAAAAAGAAAAAAAAUAAGACACUUAAAUUGACAGAGAGGAAGUAUCACAUGCUCGGUGGAAACCCGGAAAAAAAAAAAAAAAAAAAACU